ensembl:lncRNA
CUCCCUGUUCUCCCAGCAGGUGUGAGCACUCUGAUGGAGCUGGAGGCCCUGCCAUGCCAACGAGGGCUGUUGGCCCUUGCCACACCCACUUUCCCUCUUUGCCACUUUUAAUGUAUUUUUUAUGAAAUAAACUUUUUAAAAUGCGUGACUAGGCUAAACGCGAGGUUUGAGGUGAAAUGCGCUCUUAAGGUUGCACGGAAGCAGUCGUGGGUGCUGCAGUGCUAAGUGAAGGGGGCUGAUGCUGGGAUAGUGCAAAAGGAGGGUAAAAUGAAUAAAAGUGCAUUUUUUUCGAGGUUAAAGUGUAAAAUACUAAUAUAUGAGAUUAAAGUGGAUUUGAUACAGUGUUCAUGCUUAGUGAUUUUACUGAAAAUCGAUUUGAGAGAGUUGCCUCUGAAUAUUCAAAUGGUAAGUAACGCGCAAUCAAAUCAUUGUCAAAUCAUUGAGUUCUAGGGGUUUUAAAUAGAGGGAAUGGAGGGAGAAAAUCUCAAACUAAUAUGUCCCCAGCUCUAUUACAAUCAUUCUGUAUGCUCUGGCUCUGCUGUAAGACAUUUGUGUUGCUAUUUUUGGAGACUUUUGCAGAAAUUUCGUUCUUGGCCAUUUUGCUGAGGCAGAAAAGGACAUUGUUGAGUCCCUCAGCUCUUCUCCAGGAAUCAUCUCUCCAUCCCAGCCAUCAUGUCCGGUGGCCAUGUGGCUCCUCCUCCCUCUGUCCCCCCAGCUGAAGCCAGCAGCUGCGGGUCGCUGGCCCUCCAGCUUCGAGCCACCAUCUCGUUUCCAGUCCCUGACAGCGCGUGCAACAUCCAGAUGCAGGAGUGCGGCAUCCAGGUGCAGCAGCAGCAGCAGUUUGGGGAUGUGAUGUUGCCCGGCAACGGAUACGGUGGUACCACCUACGACACCCCUCUGCCUCCUUUUCCAACCUCCCCUCAGCCUUGGUACCACGGACUGUCCUCAGAUGCGGACUACUACGGCCAGGGGAUGGCCCCUUGCUCCUCAUUGGAGUCACUGACUUUCUGCAACCCUGUGGAUCCCAACACUUAUUCCCCACAGGACUCCUUCUCUUCCUCCUCCUCCUCCUCAUGCUAUGACUCGCCCACCAGAAUGGAGUCAAGCUUCAGCCCACAGCAAUACCACUAUCAGCACUGUGGCCCCCAGGAAUAUUACAGCUUGCCACACUGUUGGUCAGGCCAGCAGGAGAGCCCCCCCACCCCAGAAUGCGCACCUUACUUUGCUCCCACAGACUAUCCCCAGGUGUAUCCUGUAGAAGACAGCUGUUUCCAGAAGGAUUUCCCGCUGAGCUCUGAGAUGUGCUACAAUGCUUUAUGAUGAGACCGUGAACAGUAUUACUUUGUAUCCUGACUGUAAAUACGAUUUGGCUCAGUGAGGUUGUUUGCUUUGCAUUUCACUUGGUCUGCUUUACUUUAAUCAAUUCAUUUGUAAUAAAAACUAAAUGAUAUAUUUUCAUACGCUAAUGUUUUGCUGCACAAAAUAAAAAUGUGUAAAAGUCAGCACUGUGCUUGUAAUGUGCGCUUGUCUAUUGCAGAGUUUCCACUGUAAAAGUCGGGAUGUUUGCUUCAGCCAGCAGGUUCAGACUUCACCCUGUGAACAUGCCCUGUAGCCACAGGUAACAAAUAAAAGUGAAAAAUGUG